rnacentral:rRNA from 1 species
ACAGCAGUAGCCACGGGAAUACGAAGGGGGCUAGCGUUGCUCGGAAUGACUGGGCGUAAAGGGCGCGUAGGCGGUUCACGCAGUCAGAUGUGAAAUUCCUGGGCUUAACCUGGGGGCUGCAUUUGAGACGCGUGGGCUUGAGUGUGAAAGAGGGUCGUGGAAUUCCCAGUGUAGAGGUGAAAUUCGUAGAUAUUGGGAAGAACACCGGUGGCGAAGGCGGCGACCUGGUUCACAACUGACGCUGAGGCGCGAAAGCGUGGGGAGCAAACAGGAUUAGAUACCCCUGUAGUCCCUGUCUCUUAUAC